GCGUCUUUUUGACAGCUUUAAUUCAAAUCGCCGCGGCGCAAUGUUGAGCUGCUGCAUUGGCAAGCCCUGACCAGCCGUCUACACUCUUGCGUGAUACCGGUGCGGUGCUGCCGGAGCGGGGAAGCGCCAAUCAGAUCCACCAGUCAAUCGACGGGCUAUCGGGAGUUUUACAUAUGAGCAUUUUUGGAAAGAUCAUGGGCGCGAUUUUCGGCACUAAGGCCGACGCGGCUGAGCCCGCCGGCGGUGCUGGAUCGGCUGCAGGCG
rnacentral:misc_RNA from 1 species